rnacentral:rRNA from 1 species
UUGGAGGGCAAGUCUGGUGCCAGCAGCCGCGGUAAUUCCAGCUCCAAUAGCGUAUAUUAAAGUUGUUGCAGUUAAAAAGCUCGUAGUUGAAUUUCGGGAUCAAUAUUUCGGUCAUGCCGUUGGUAUGCACUGUUAUCAUUGAUUUCUCACCUUCUAAAGAACCGUAAUGCCAUUAAUUUGGUGUUACGGGGAAUUAGGACUGUUACCUUGAAAAAAUUAGAGUGUUUAAAGCAGGCUCACGCUUGAAUACAUUAGCAUGGAAUAAUGAAAUAGGACAUCCGAUUCUAUUUUGUUGGUCUCUAGGAUCGAUGUAAUGAUUAAUAGGGAUAGUUGGGGGCAUUAGUAUUCAAUUGUCAGAGGUGAAAUUCUUGGAUUUAUUGAAGACUAACUACUGCGAAAGCAUUUGCCAAGGAUGUUUUCAUUAAUCAAGAACGAAAGUUAGGGGAUCGAAGACGAUCAGAUACCGUCGUAGUCUUAACCAUAAACUAUGCCGACUAGGGAUCGGAUGAUGUUAAUUUUUUAAUGACUCAUUCGGCGCCUUACGGGAAAC